rnacentral:lncRNA from 1 species
ACCUCGGCUCCUUUAAGACCAAGCGAAACAUUCGCGACAUGAAAUCUGGAAAGACUGGUGACCAACCCUCCCACCCUCUCUUGUCUUGCGACCAAAACUAGUUUCAAGACGACCGGGCGAAAAUAUUUGUCUUUCCCUUGAAGGAACGGAUGAUUGAGGCGUCAACUUCCCGACAUUUCCUCCGACAUCUCCCCUCUCUAGACAAAAGUUUGUGGAUCCUCCAAGAGUUUGGGAACUAAAGAUUGAUAGAAAGCCUCCUUUUUCUGUAGGGGGGAACUUUGAAAACAUGGAUUGGGGGACGGAUCUUUGGGACCAGUAUGAUGGUAGAGGAGUGUGUUAUAUCAGUCCAGUAUCUAACCCUGUUCUGUCUCCUGUCUGUAGGACCAGUAUGAUGGUAGAGGAGUGUGUUGUAUCAGUCCAGUAUCUAACCCUGUUCUGUCUCUCCUGUCUGUAGGACAAGUAUGAUGGUAGAGGAGUGUGUUGUAUCAGUCCAGUAUCUAACCCUGU